rnacentral:lncRNA from 1 species
CUUGGAUCAAGGGAGUAAAGUUUGUUGGGAGGACAAGGAGUUGAAAAGGGGAUUGUAUUAAGUAUCACAUGAUGCUGUGAUUUAACUCGGCAGGUGACUCAGCACCAUGCAGUCAUUUGCUCACUCCUCCCUUCCCAGUGAGAUGGGGGAGACAAUCAGGGAAAAGGAGCAGAACUCAUGGAUUGAGAUAAAACUAUUACUGAGGUAGAGAAAAGUAAAAGGAUAAUAGUUGUGACUGUAUAUACGAAUGUAUAUAACAAAUGAUGUACAAGCAAUUGCUCAUCACCCCCUGACCAAUGCCCAGCUGGCCCCCAAGCAGUGGAAGAGAGAGAUGAACUCCCACCCCCUUCAAAACUCCUUCCGCAUGAUGUUAUAUGGUAUGGAGUAUCCCUUUGUCCAGUUUAAGUCAGAUGUCCUAAUUCUGUUCUCUCUCAGCUCCUUGGAACCUUCACUGGGAAUGGAUUUGGCUCUGUACAACACUGCUUAGCAGCAACUAUAACCAUCAGUGUGUUAUCAACAUCAUUUUUCUUCUAGAACCAAAAACAUAGCAUCGUACCAGGCACUCUAAAGACAACAAUUCAAUCCCAGGUGAAACAAAGACGUGACAAAUCAGUUGCUACUAGAACCUUAAACUAACCGAUUUUUAUUUUUUCCCAGUAUUGUUUAUUUCAACAACAACAACAAAAAAAAAAGCUCACAGAUUGGCAGGAGUUUUCAGUCAUAAAAGAAAGAAAACCUUUUCUAAAUCACAGGUGAGAUCUAGCACACCCAUUUGCUAAUAAAAAAAAGAACUACCACUACAUCUGAGGACAGACAGAAAAGUGGGAUGACAAAAGCCAUGUGGAACUAGACAAUAACAAAACGGACAGUUUGUGUGGCUAAGGUAAGAGUUUCAAACAGCUUUGCUGUUUGUAUGAGCUCACAGUCCUUCAGCAACUUGCACUUCCAGUUUUGGAAGUAACAAGGCAAAAAUCACAACCUUCAGCUUCAAGUAAGAAUGCACAAAGCCACUUGUAGGCCAAAGUAAAUUUUCUGAUGGGGAAGGUCUAUUCUUUGUCUCCUGUGAUGGAAUUGGCCUUUUCUUCCAGGUAACAGCGGUAAGACAAGAGGGAAUGGCCUCAAGUUGUGCCAGGGCAGAUUCAGGUUAGGUAUUAGGGAAAAUUUAUUCUCAGAAAGAGUGGUGAGGCAUUGAAACAGGCUGCCCAGAGAGGUGGUGAAGUCACCGUCCCAGGAGGUGUUUAAGGAAAGGGUAGAUGUUGUACUUAGAGACAAUACUGGUGGUAGGUGGAUGGUUGGACUAGAUGAUCUUAGAGGUCUUUUCCAACCUUAAUGAUUCCAUGAUUCCAUAUUCACUAAGCCAGGUGAAUCUAACAGACAGCAUGUUCCAGCUGGUUAGGUCCUCCUUCAUGUGCUUUUGGCACACACACUCAUGCUUCCUUAGAAAUGCUCCCACAGUUAAUUUUAAUGCCUGUCACAUAAAGCAUUAAUAGCAGAAUUCCACAAUGCUGCCAGCACAGUCAGUCAUAAGCCACAUGAUUAUAUUGCUAAAUACUAAAUGUAAAUAUGAAAAUGGGAUUGGAGCCUACCUGGCUCAGCACUGUUUAAUAUGGAGCUUAGCUUCUCUUCUUCAGAAAGAGGAAGUAACCCCUUUUCUUCCCAUCUUUGUUAGGUAGGUAGGUAAAUGCACCCUGUAGCACUAUUGAGGCAAGUGCUUGUGUCAUAUCCUCAUGAGGUCCCAGUGAAUCUUUAGAAAGAGGAAUAAAUGACAGAUGUGGAAACAGCAGAGCAAAUGUAAGCUUGCUACUGCAGUAUUGUCAUGGUGAGGAUUAGUAUUUAUGAAAAGUCUAUAAAGGUUUGUCAUGUUAGUAACUAGGCAGCUGUGGAAACAUGUAAGAAUCCUACACAGAUUUUUCAUUUCCUGCCAGCUCACAAAAAUGAAGCAGGGAAGUGGGGCACAACCUAAGUGAUGUGGUAAAUCUCAGCAAGCGUGUUCAACUUUAUGGCAUACUGCAUGAGGGAGAAGCUCCAGAGAUUUGCAGUCACCAGUUCUCCAAGCCUUGAGGUAGCAGCAACCCAAGAAGAAAAGCACAAGGAGAAUUGGGAUAGAUGAAAGAAGAGGUCACUGCUGAACUCCAGACUUCCUUAGCUCCCUAAUUUCCCUCGAAGUUCUGCAAUUGCACCUUUCCCCAGAUCUAUUCCUACCAGGAUGUGCUCCCAGCAAAGCAGUAGUCCCCAGCACCAACUGUGAGAUUUGUCCCAGUAGUUUUAUUGAGCCUGCCCUGAUACUCUGGGCCAGAUUACAUUCUGCAAUGCAUUGCCUAUUUAUUUUUCACAUCUGUUCACGGACUGUGCCCACCUUGUUUAUAUAGGGGACCCUAUUAUUAACAGGAUUGUUUUACAUAUUGUUUCCACAUAUGUUACAGACUAUAAAAUAGUUGCAACAAAUGUGCCAGAGAAAGCUGCUUGGUGAUUCUUCCCUCUUUCUCUGCUGAAGUUUUUGUCUAGAUAAGAAAAAGUCUUUAAGUUUUUUUUUUUUUUUUUUUACUCAGGCAAGAAAUGGUGACCAAAAGGUUGGAUCAGAAAAAAAAAUAAACGUAAGAUAAACUGCAGCAGAGGACUUCAGAUAUAUUGCAGAAUAAUUAAAGCCAAUAACUCAUUAUUCAUUUUAUUAUUACCAAUCUAGAGGAGUUUCACUGUACAGCAGUGAGAUAAGAGAUUCCUGUUGGGGACUACAGGAAAGAAGACAGGAAAGAUAACAUGCAGCUAACCAGACUGUAAAUAGUCUCAAAGUCAGGCUGCAUUAGCAAUAACCUGACAGUGGAACCGCAUUAGAUUAUACUAAGACGGUGGGAGCAGCACAAAAACGCCCUGAAUCAAUCCUAUGUACCUGUCUACCCAACUAGAGGCUAAGCAGUGACAGAUGUAGGGCAAGGACACAUCUGUCUCCCUUGGCAUCUCCCACGCAGAAAGCAGCCCUACCCAACCGCAGACUGGAAAUAAGUAUUUCCAGACUAGGAAGCUGCUGGGUGAAGAUCUGCAUCCCAGUCCUCCUCAGACACGUUACAGAAUCUUCCAGCAGUAACGACUGAAGAAAGAUAUAGCAAGGCAGCUCUGUGCAUGUUCCCUGGUAUCAGAGGGAAGAGUGGAUUUCUGAUGGGUCUGUGUCACAGAGGGCUAUCACUGCUGUCUGGCAGGCCAGCAGAAUUACAGAUUUUGCUCCAUCUGUGACCCACUGUAACGUUAAGCCUAAUCACGUGGCGUGUGCAUGCAAGACUAGACCCAGAAUGCUCUGGAUUCAACCAAGGCUUUCUGACCUUCAGGGGGUGCAUGAACUUUAAUACUGCUCUGCCAUGAAAAAAUAAACAGAUCCACACUACUAUCCGUUUUCUAAACAAGCAAAGGAAGAAAAUAAAUGUGUGUCCUUUGCGACUCUGAAGCCAUGGCGAGGGCUUUGCAUUUGGCAGGUUGAGCACAUGCUCUCCACAAGAAGACACCCAGCAGUGCCUACCCUUACACAAUACCUGGGGCUCUUAAGGCAGCUACAGCCCUUGUCCAGUCAUGCCCAUCUCCCCAGUAGUGCUCACGAACCACCUCAUUCAGAAGAGGGACUUCUCAUAUGGGUUUCUUGCAAAGGUGUAGAUACACUGAAUGAAAAAUUCCUACUGCAACAUCUUGGGUUAGCAGAGUGGAUUAAAACUUGCUGAUUAAAUCUGGUAAAAACUACUAGGUUUUUAGUUCCCUUUCUGAUGAAUCUGCAAGCAUUAAUUCAUAACAAAUAGCUGAUGAAGACUACCUGACUUAGAAAAUUCUUUCAACCACAAUAGCAAUAGUUUGUGCAAACUUAAAAUACUGACUUCAGUUUGGGGUCCACAUAAGAUGACCAGCAGGGUGAAACGUAGGCACAGAAUUGUUAAACUCUUUGCAGAUCAAGCAGAUGAGUUACAAACAAGGCCUGAGAAUAAAACUGGCUAAAAAAAAAAAAAAGAAACCUGUAUUCAGGUGAAUUAAUAAUAGUACCAAUGCUUUCUGUGAGGAUUCAACUUGUAUACACCAACUUUCAAUAUUGUUCACAGAAUCACAGAAUGCCUUAAAUUAGAAGGGACCUUAAUGACCAUUCAGCUGUGGACAGGGCUGUGACCCAGCAGCUCAGCUGCCUAGGGCCCCAUCCAACAUGGUCUUGAGUGCCUCCAUGGUUGGGGCACCCACAACCUCUCUGGGCAGCUGUGCCAAGACCUCACCACCAAUAAACCAUUUAUUUUAGAAAAGUUAACAGAAAUAAUGUUAUUAAUAGCCUGGAGAUGGAAAAGAUGAUCCUUCUUAAAUCUACAGGUUACAAGAACACAGAAAGAGUGAAUGGGAAGAAAUUUUGACAAAGUAGAAACACUAAGUGAAAAAAAAAAUAGAUCAAUUUAAUUAAGGGACAGUAGAAGUCCUAAAUUAGGCAGAAAUAAUCACCUGCGUGAAAACAGUUGGUGAACAUCUGGGCAGGUUGGUUUUCUGCAGAAAAAAAACCUCUGUUGUGUGUCACAUGAGUAAAAAACAUGAGGCUGUUGCCAAAUAACAUUGAUGAUGAUGAUAGAAUACCGUAAAAUAAAGCAAAUUCUGCAAGAAGAUGACAUUUUUAUUUUCUGUUCAGUGAAAUACCAUAUUCAUUUUUAGGUUCAAUUUUUAAAGAGGGCAAAAAGCAUUGUGCAAAAGGGGCAAAAAAAGUCAGGGAAAAAAUAUGCAAAUACUAACAGUUGCAACAAACAGCAAAUACAAAUACCAAUAAUUGCAACUCAAGAGGGUUAACAUAGACAUUCGGGAAAAACUUUCUAGUGGUAAGUAUAGCAAAGCACAGGAACAGAUUGCCUCCUGUAAUAGGUUGGCAUCUGUUAGCUAAUGAUGUAAGCACAGUUGAUCCUACUGUGGGUAAAGAGAUCGAUGGGAUGAUCUCUUGAUUCUCUAAUUUUGACAAAACACUGUAUUAAAUAUACAUUUAAGCAGUAGCAAAAAAAGGUAUUACUGGAUAAUAAUGUUCAUAUUUCAUUGCAUAGCUUGAACUGCAAGUAAAAUGGAGAAGGGACAAGUUCUCCUUGUUUAGCAUCCUGCAAUUAUUUUGGUUUAUGAUCAUUUAAAGAAAAAAAAUUCAAGCAUGAUGAGAUGUUAGUAUUUAAAUAACUCCAGC